rnacentral:tRNA from 1 species
GGUUGGGGCUCAGUGGCAGAGCACUUGCCUCACAUGUAUGAGGCCUUGGGUUCAAUCCUCAGCACCA